UUUUUCCGCUCCCCUUGGCCUUGGUGCACUGUCUCUUUAAAUGGGGCGCCACACCACGGCUCGCGAGUGUUGUGGGUCUCGGGAGUGUCUGAGCUGCUGCAGAUGCCUCCUGCUGUAUGACGAUGUGCUGAGAAUGACUAUUAAGCGGAACUGGCCAGGUUCCAGUAUUGGAUGGCGAGCUAGAAGGCCCCGAGCCUGGACAUAUUGAGUGCGCCCGUCCGCCGGUGCGGUAGGAGGCGCUGCAGCCACUCCCCACACACACCCACUUGCACACACGCACACUAACAACCUCCGCUGGUGGAUUGUUUGAACUUUGCGAGUUUUGCACAGACUGAAACCCAGGUUCACCAAACUUGACGAUCUGAACUCUUUGGGCGCCUAAG